rnacentral:rRNA from 1 species
GAGACAGCAGUCGCCGCGGUAAUACGAAGGGGGCUAGCGUUGCUCGGAAUUACUGGGCGUAAAGGGAGCGUAGGCGGACAUUUAAGUCAGGGGUGAAAUCCCAGAGCUCAACUCUGGAACUGCCUUUGAUACUGGGUGUCUUGAGUGUGAUAGAGGUAUGUGGAACUCCGAGUGUAGAGGUGAAAUUCGUAGAUAUUCGGAAGAACACCAGUGGCGAAGGCGACAUACUGGAUCAUUACUGACGCUGAGGCUCGAAAGCGUGGGGAGCAAACAGGAUUAGAUACCCCUGUAGUCCCUGUCUCUUAUAC